rnacentral:rRNA from 1 species
GACGAACGCUGGCGGCGUGCUUAACACAUGCAAGUCGAACGGAAAGGCCCUGCUUUUGUGGGGUGCUCGAUUGGCGAACGUGUGUGUAACACGUGAGUAACCUGCCCUUUACUUUGUGAUAACUUCAGGAAACUUGGGCUAAUACCGGAUAGGCUCUCCUUCUGCAUGUUUUGGUUUGGAAAGUUUCGGCGGUUGGGUAUGGACUCGCGGCUUAUCAGCUUGUUGGUGGGGUAGUGGCUUACCAAGGCUUUGACGGGUAGACGGCAUGUGAGGGUGACCGGCGACAAUGGGACUGAGAUACGGAACAGACUCCUACGGGAGGCAGCAGUGGGGAAUAUUGCAAAAUGGGAGGAAGCAUGAUGCAGCAAAGCAGCGUGCGGGAUGACGGCCUUCGGGUUGUAAACCGAGUUAGCCUGUGAAGAAGAGUGAGUGACGGUAAUGGGUAAAGAAGCACCGGCUAACUACGUG